AGCUGCUCAGAGCAUUCAACUGGUUUACAAUUUCUGUAAACAGAAGCCAGUCAAGACAAAUAUAAGAAAAAUGCAAGAUAAUGAAAACUGAAGAGCGGCAGAUACAACUUUUUUAGAUAAUGGCUUGAAUUUUAACUUGACAUCAGUCUGAGUUGGCAUAGGGCUUGCAUACUGUUUCAUAUUGAUGCUGCUAGUAGCAAGAGCUUUCCUUCGACCAGAAGGGGAUUCCUGGAAGAUUAAAGAAAAAAAAA
ensembl:lncRNA novel transcript